UACGUAGGGAGCAAGCGUUGUCCGGAUUUAUUGGGCGUAAAGAGCUCGUAGGCGGCUUAGAAAGUCAGGUGUGAAAACUCUGGGCUCAACCCAGAGACGCCACUUGAUACUUCUAUGGCUUGAGUUCGGUAGGGGAACAUGGAAUUCCUGGUGUAGCGGUGAAAUGCGCAGAUAUCGGGAGGAACACCUAUGGCGAAGGCAGCUCGCUGGGACGUUACUGACGCUGAGACGCGAAAGCGUGGGGAGCAAACAGG
rnacentral:rRNA from 1 species